rnacentral:rRNA from 1 species
GAUGAACGCUGGCGGCGUGCUUAACACAUGCAAGUCGAACGAAGCACUUUUAUUUGAUUUCUUCGGAAUGAAGAUUUUAGUGACUGAGUGGCGGACGGGUGAGUAACGCGUGGGUAACCUGCCUCAUACAGGGGGAUAACAGUUAGAAAUGACUGCUAAUACCGCAUAAGACCACAGCACCGCAUGGUGCAGGGGUAAAAACUCCGGUGGUAUGAGAUGGACCCGCGUCUGAUUAGGUAGUUGGUGGGGUAACGGCCUACCAAGCCGACGAUCAGUAGCCGACCUGAGAGGGUGACCGGCCACAUUGGGACUGAGACACGGCCCAAACUCCUACGGGAGGCAGCAGUGGGGAAUAUUGCACAAUGGGGGAAACCCUGAUGCAGCGACGCCGCGUGAGCGAUGAAGUAUUUCGGUAUGUAAAGCUCUAUCAGCAGGGAAGAAAAUGACGGUACCUGACUAAGAAGCACCGGCUAAAUACGUGCCAGCAGCCGCGGUAAUACGUAUGGUGCAAGCGUUAUCCGGAUUUACUGGGUGUAAAGGGAGCGUAGACGGAGUGGCAAGUCUGAUGUGAAAACCCGGGGCUCAACCCCGGGACUGCAUUGGAAACUGUCAAUCUAGAGUACCGGAGAGGUAAGCGGAAUUCCUAGUGUAGCGGUGAAAUGCGUAGAUAUUAGGAGGAACACCAGUGGCGAAGGCGGCUUACUGGACGGUAACUGACGUUGAGGCUCGAAAGCGUGGGGAGCAAACAGGAUUAGAUACCCUGGUAGUCCACGCCGUAAACGAU